rnacentral:rRNA from 1 species
UGGGGAAUCUUGCGCAAUGGGCGAAAGCCUGACGCAGCCAUGCCGCGUGAAUGAUGAAGGUCUUAGGAUUGUAAAAUUCUUUCACCGGGGACGAUAAUGACGGUACCCGGAGAAGAAGCCCCGGCUAACUUCGUGCCAGCAGCCGCGGUAAUACGAAGGGGGCUAGCGUUGCUCGGAAUUACUGGGCGUAAAGGGAGCGUAGGCGGACAUUUAAGUCAGGGGUGAAAUCCCGGGGCUCAACCUCGGAACUGCCUUUGAUACUGGGUGUCUUGAGUGUGAUAGAGGUAUGUGGAACUCCGAGUGUAGAGGUGAAAUUCGUAGAUAUUCGGAAGAUCACCAGUGGCGAAGGCGACAUACUGGAUCAUUACUGACGCUGAGGCUCGAAAGCGUGGGGAGCAAACAGGAUUAGAUACCCUGGUAGUCCACGCCGUAAACGAUGAUUGCUAGUUGUCGGGGUGUUUACACCUCGGUGACGCAGCUAACGCAUUAAGCAAUCCGCCUGGGGAGUACGGUCGCAAGAUUAAAACUCAAAUGAAUUGACGGGGUCAUAGUGUUUCCUG